UACGGGGGGGGUAAGCGUUGUUCGGAAUUACUGGGCGUAAAGGGCUCGUAGGCGGCCAACUAAGUCAGACGUGAAAUCCCUCAGCUUAACUGGGGAACUGCGUCUGAUACUGGAUGGCUUGGAUUCGGGAGAGGAAUGCGGAAUUCCAGGUGUAGCGGUGAAAUGCGUAGAUAUCUGGAGGAACACCGGUGGCGAAGGCGGCAUUCUGGACCAUUACUGACGCUGAGGCGCGAAAGCUAGGGGAGCAAACAGG
rnacentral:rRNA from 1 species